CCAUUUAAUUUCGUACCCUGGA
rnacentral:miRNA from 1 species